AAAUCAUCUCAAACAAAAGAGAAGAAAAAGUAAAACAUUUUAGGUUCAUUGUUCCUGUUCUUACUGUCCUUGUUUAAUGAAAGUGAAACGAGAUCAAUACAUUUAUUUAAACAUAAAAGGGACACAGAUUUAUAUAUGAUAUGCUCUGGUCAAACAAGGGUUAAGUUUUCUCAGAGGGUUGAUGAGCUCUGAUGAGAGCCUAUUAUUUUACUCCACUCCUCGCAUGUCAGCCAAUCAGUGAAGCUCUAUGCAGCUCUUGUCCCUCCUUAGUGCCAGCUCCCAAGUUUGCAGUCUCUUGCUUCUACAGCCGAACAGAGCAGGCGGACUAAAACUUUGUUAUCGAGGGCAGAGUGAAACCGGAAGGUUUACUGAGCUGUGGCUUCACGUAAACGCUGAGCAUACACUCGACGGCGGUCAGGUUUUUUAUAUGGGACAAAUCCAAAGACCAGGUCAGCGAUUCCAGAACCCAGAGUGUUCCAGUGUUCACUGGAUGGCGAGCCAACCCAAGAUCCUAGGAGACGAUAUACAUACACACGCACACUCAUUUGCACAUUGAUGGACUACAAUCUUCUACUGUACAAGUAGUACGGUAGGAUAGACAAUCACACACACUCUUACCAUUGGACAGACUCUAUUGCAAUACACCCGUUUGUCAUGGGCCCCACCGGUACCAUUUGGACUUAAAAAAGACUAAUAGUUUUACUUGUGCACAAUUUUAUUUUAUUCUAUUGUUUUGCUACUUUGGGGGAAAUUUUUAUACUGGAAGUUCUGUUAAAACCUGUUGUAACACUGUGUUGUUUACAAAUUCCUUUUAAAGGGCUUAAAAUCACUAAAGCACUUUUAAGCCACACAACUGUGUUUGUCUGGUUUCUCUGCCAUUCAUAUACCAGAGCUCUAAGAGUCGUUCUUUAUCUUCUGAUACUAGCCCAAAUUACUCAUUACCUUGGUAGUUAUCCAUUGGUACUGUAUAUAAAUCCAGGUAAGUGCUACAAAAGUGGCGAGCCAGCCAGGAGCUCUUUGGUGCAUGAAUAUCAGCAGUGAAACCUCUUUAAAGUGUGUGUAUUGUCAUUGAAACAUCUUUUGCUAUUGCCACAAGAUGGAUUUUGUAUUGAGGUCAGGUAUCAAAGUCCCCAAUGCCGUAAUUGUUAGUGGUAUACUCAAUUCAUCGGAUGAUGAAGAGAUUCUAGACUUUUUAAAGCAGUAUGGUACCUUUAGAGCCGUCCCAGUUAUAGAUUCCAACUCUGAGUUUUUCAAAAACCUGAUCGUUGAGUACCGAAGUGGUAACUCCAUUGAUGCCUUAACUGAUCUUUUGCCAUACACAUAUGAAGUUGAAGGGAAGCCCGGUGUAAAAUACCAUGUAAGAGCUCUCUCCAGCGUUUACACUGCCAAGGUGGGUGGCAGUGCUACCAAAUCCUACUUGGAUGAAAUAAAGCAGGUGGCAAAACUGAGUGGCAAAAGUUUUGAAGAGGUACUGAAGUCGAUGAUGACAGAGAUCAGUGAAAUCAUUGGGAGUUCAGAGACCGAUGAUGAAUGUAUGCUCUCCUCCAUGCAAGUUGAUGAUCCAAACAGGGAGAACCAGCUUCACCCCUCUCUUGAAACUUCUGAGAUUGCACGCCAGCAGUUGUCUGAAGAUCCACCACAGGUAGGAUUGAUUCAAGGUGGUGCGGAGCCACACCUACCUGUUGAUUUCAAAAAGAGCCCACUUAGUGCGGCAAACAGUUUCAACCCACCUGAAAUUCAGAAAGUCAUUGUGGAACACAUCGUGAAGAAAGAUGACUUGAUUGCACAUUCAUAUUCUCCAAUGAGACUCCGCUCAUUCUCUGGUAGGAUUCCCAGACCCAACGGUGAGACAGAUUAUGACACAUGGCGUUCACAUGUCGAACUUCUCAGGAAAGACCCCGCCAUGUCUGAACUUCAAAAAUCUAGAAAGAUCUUUGAGAGCUUGUUGUCCCCUGCAGCUGACAUUGUCAACAGACUGAGCCCAGAAGCUUCACCUGAAACUUACCUUCAGUUGUUAGAUGCAGCUUUUGGAACAGUGGAGGACGGAGAGGAGCUUUUCGCCCAAUUCAUGAACACUCUUCAGGAUCCUGGUGAAAAGGCCUCUGCGUACCUCUGCCGUCUUCAGGGCGCAUUGAACCUCACUCUGAAGAGGGGAGGAGUCGCUGCUGAGGAUGCCGAUAAACACAUUCUCAAGCAGUUUUGUCGUGGAUGUUGGGACCACACCUUGCUCUCAGAUCUUAAUCUUGAAAAUAAGAAAAGCCAACCUCCAACAUUUUCAGAACUUCUAUUAAUGCUCCGAACAGAAGAAGAUAGACUGGCAGCUAAAGCCACACGGAUGAAGAAACACCUUGGCUCAACCCGGCAGCGGGUUGUGGCACACUGUCAAAAGACUUGCACCUGUAGUGAGCUACAGGCAGUGACUCAAUCUGAUUCCGACCCGUUGACAGAUCUGAGGAAGCAAGUUGCAUCUCUACAGAGUCAGCUUAUUAAUUUGAUGGCAAAGAAACAUAAGAAAAGCUCGAAGCCUAAAGACAAGGCUGAGUGUGAUUUACGUGACAUGGCUAUGGCAACCCCUAGCAUCAAUGUCACAAGUGCGAAGCCUGCCAACUUGCGGCAGAGCACCCAGCCAAAACCAUGGUACUGCUUCAAGUGUGGUCAGGAUGGCCACAUCUCAGCAAGUUGCAGUAAUGACCCAGACCCCACUCUUGUCGCUGAUAAGAGGAAGCAAUUGAGAGAGAAGCGUCGCAUUUGGGACAUGCAAAACACUCCAUCUGCUCACCAGGAUUUUUAGACGCAGUCUCAGUUGUGGGGCAAACUGGGACUGAAGCAGGUCAACGUCGUCCCGCUAAAUCUGGAAGUCAAGCUAAGACAAGAGCACAGGCCACUUUGAGGCAAUCCCAUGUUAGAGAGCAACCUUUCAGACUACCUAAGAGGCUCAUAGGCACGAAGAGUACAGGUCAAGUCACGAUCAAAGGUAAGGUGUGCAGUUGUCUCCUUGAUACGGGUUCUCAAGUGACCACUAUCACCAAGUCCUACUAUGACCAGUAUUUGUCUGAGCAACCGAUAGAGCCACUCCAUGACCUUCUGGAAGUUGAAGGAGCCAAUGGGCAGCUUGUACCUUAUCUGGGUUAUGUUGAGAUUGGAAUCACCUUUCCUAAAGACUUUCUUGGUGCUGAACUAGAAGUCAAAACGCUGGCUCUAGUAGUCCCAGACACCCAGACAUUAACGAAGACUUGUGUAUUGAUUGGAACAAACACUCUUGAUGUAGUGUAUGAAAUGUACACAGACGCGAACCCAGAGAGCUACCAUCCCAUUCCUCAUGGGUACAGAACCGUACUCAAAGUACUGGAGUUGCGGCAAAAGCAAUGUUCAGAUGAAAACGUUGGAUUAGUGAGGAUGCGUGGCAAGGAUGAAGUGAUCGUCCCAGCUGGGAAAACAGUCGUUCUUGAGGGGACAGUAUCAAUCAAGGAAUUUUACACUGAGAGAUCUGCCCUGUUGGAAUAUCCUUCAGCAUCUUCCCUGCCUGGGGGGCUUUUAGUGCAAACCUGUCUCCUUGACUUGCCAAGUAACCAGUCGUGCAAACUACCUGUAGUAGUUUCCAAUGAGUCAGAGCACGACAUUACCAUCCCAGCUAAGAGCGUGAUUGCCGAACUCAGUGCAAUACAGACUGUCCUAUCUCACAAACAAAUUGUGAGUGAGCCAUCAGAGUGUGAACCAUCCAAGACCCCUAGUGUGACAUUUGACUUUGCCAACUCUCCUAUCCCUUCUGACUGGAAAGACCGCAUUACUCAAAAGCUGAGCAGUAUGCCAGAGGUCUUCGCCCAGACUGAUCUGGAUUUUGGAAGGACGGACAAGGUCAAACACCACAUUAAGCUAGCAGAUGAGACACCAUUUAAACACAGAGCCCGACCGAUUCACCCGCACGACAUAGAGGCUGUUCGAAAGCAUCUGCAAGAGCUUCUCGCAACUGGAGUAAUCCGCGAGAGCGAGUCCCCAUUCUCCUCACCAAUUGUUGUGGUCAGGAAGAAGAACGGUCAGGUACGUCUGUGUGUUGACUACCGUAAGUUAAACUUACAAACAGUGAAAGACGCAUACGCCCUCCCAAGACUGGAUGACACCUUCACCGCACUCUCAGGUUCCAAGUGGUUCAGUACACUUGAUCUUAAGUCCGGCUAUUAUCAGAUCGAAGUUGCAGAGAGUGAUAAGCCCAAGACUGCCUUUGUCUGUCCACUAGGUUUCUGGGAGUUCAACCGUAUGCCACAGGGAGUGACAAACGCGCCAAGUACUUUUCAGAGGCUUAUGGAGAAAUGCAUGGGAGACAUAAAUCUGAAGGAAGUUGUUGUUUUCCUGGAUGAUCUGAUAGUUUUCUCCAAAACCCUUGAGGAGCAUGAAGCCAGACUCAUGAAGGUCCUGGAACGCUUAAAGGAGUAUGGGUUAAAGCUGUCUCCUGAGAAGUGCAAGUUCUUCCAGUCCUCAGUUCGGUACUUGGGGCAUGUUGUUUCUCAGCACGGAGUGGAAACUGACCCAGAAAAGACGGCCACACUUAAAACUUGGCCAGUCCCUCAGAACCUCAAGGAGCUGAGAUCCUUCCUCGGGUUCUGUGGGUAUUACAGACGGUUUGUUAAAGGCUACUCAAGUAUUGUGAAACCGCUGAACGAUCUAACGUCCGGUUAUCCACCACUGAGGAAGCAUUGCAAAUCAAAAGGGAGGAGUAAUCAGUAUCAUGAUCCAAAGGAGCCGUUUUACGGGCGAUGGACCCCUGCUUGCCAGAAAGCGUUUGAGGCUAUCAUUGACAAGCUAACGUCUCCUCCAGUCCUGGCCUUUGCUGACCCAAAGCUGCCUUACAUCCUUCAUACAGAUGCGAGCACCACGGGCCUUGGAGCAGCCUUAUACCAGGAGCAGGAGGGACAGCUGCGGGUUAUCGCCUACGCGAGCAGAGGUUUGUCGUGUAGUGAGUCCCGGUAUCCAGCACACAAGCUCGAGUUUUUGGCUUUAAAGUGGGCUGUAACAGAGAAGCUGAGUGACUACCUCUAUGGCAAUCACUUCACCGUUGUCACAGACUCAAACCCUCUGACCUACAUCCUCACCUCAGCGAAACUCGAUGCAACGAGCUACAGGUGGUUGGCGGCCCUCUCUACCUUCAAUUUCAGACUCCAGUAUCGUUCUGGAAAACAAAAUGGAGAUGCCGAUGGACUGUCGCGUCGUCCUCAUGGCAAGCUACCUGAUGACCUUACAUCUCAAAAAGAGAGAGACCGGAUAUGCCAGUUUGCAAAACAACAUCUGUCAGAUCCAGACAAUAUUGACUCAGUCGAUCAGGACGUUGUUCAUGCUAUCUGUGAGAGACAGUUUGUUUAUCAUUCAACCACCUCUGAAGCUUUGGGUGAUGAUGCAGGUAUAUCCCUUGUCGAAAGUCUUGCCAUUUCUGGAGAUGCUGUACCUGACAGCUUUGAGCAUGAAGAGACGUUGGGAGGCCUACACAUCAUUCCCCACCUCUCACAGGCAGAUAUCAGGGACAGCCAGAGAUCUGAUCGGUGCGUCAGACAUAUUAUCACCCAGAUGGAGAGUGGGGAGAAACCCCCUCCCACAUUGAGGAAAGAACUUCCAGACGUAGUCCUGUUGCUGAGAGAGUUGAACAGGUUCGAGCUGUGCAAUGACAUUCUCUACAGAACACGCCAAGAAGGCGGUAAUAAACAUUACCAGUUGGUCUUACCUGAAGACCUGCGAGAGUCUGUGUUGACAAGCCUACAUGACAACAUGGGUCAUAUGGGAAUAGAGCGCACACUCGAUCUGGUCAGAGCCAGGUUCUACUGGCCGAGAAUGUCCUCAGAUGUGGAGAAAAAGAUAAAGACCUGCCACAGGUGUGUACGUAGGAAAACGUUACCUGAGAAGGCUGCACCUUUGGUGAAUAUCAUGACGACAAGACCCCUUGAGCUAGUCUGUAUGGAUUUCCUAUCCAUUGAACCGGACAGCAGUAAUGUGAAAGAUGUUCUUGUCAUCACAGAUCAUUUUACUAAAUAUGCAGUCGCUAUCCCAACAUCGAACCAAAAAGCUCGGACUGUCGCAAAGUGUCUGUGGGACCAUUUCAUAGUACACUAUGGCAUUCCUGAAAAAUUACACAGCGAUCAAGGGCCGGAUUUUGAAUCUCAGCUGAUCAAAGGGCUGUGUGAAGUAGCAGGCAUACAGAAGAUUCGGACUACCCCGUACCACCCCAGGGGCAACCCGGUGGAGCGUUUUAACCGAACACUCUUAAGUAUGCUUGGAACUCUGGAGAACAAAGAUAAGUCACAUUGGAAGGAUUUUGUAAAGCCUUUAGUUCAUGCGUACAACUGUACCAAGAACGAGGUAACUGGAUUCACACCUUAUGAGCUGAUGUUUGGGCGUCAGCCACGGUUGCCUGUCGACUUAGCUUUCGGGUUACCUGUGAGAGAACAACAAAACAAGUCACACUCCCAAUAUGUUAAGGACCUCAAAUCCCAUCUUGAGGAGAGCUAUAAAAUAGCUACACGGAGUGCUGCAAAGGUAGCCAAAAGGAACAAAACCAGAUUUGACAAACAUGUGACCCCAUCUACCUUGGAAAUCGGAGACCGAGUGCUGGUCAGGAACAUACGCAUUCGAGGAAAACACAAACUCGCCGAUAAAUGGGAGCAGACCGUCUAUGUGGUGGUGAAACGAGCUGGAGACCUCCCCGUCUACACCGUUAAACCUGAGGGUGAGGAUGGCCCCAUACGCACCCUACACAGAGACCUCUUACUCCCUUGUGGGUUCCUCUCUGCAGCCAAGGAGGUGAAACCUGAAAAACCAAAACCAAAGAAAAGGCCCAGAACGCGACAGAUUACUCACAAAGACUAUGAAAGAGCAGAUCACUCCUCAGAUGAGGAUGACAUUGUUCCAGUCCACUGGUUUGCAGAUAGAUCAGUGCCAAAUGACUCGACGUACAUUGUCAAGCGAGAUGUUCUGCUGACUCAUAAAUCAAGUCUUGGUCAGGAUGAUGUGACUGCAGAUCAUGACAAGUUGGCUGAUGGUACUCCAGCUUGUGCAGACACGAUAUCCGAUGUUGUUCCAGCCAGUCAUGCUGACGAUGACCAACCUUAUGACAAUCAGAUUGCAAGUUAUGGAGAAGCCUCAUAUGAGGGAGACUUACCUGGAAAUGACGAAUCUGAAAAGGGAAGAGACUUACCUGGAAAUGACGAAUCUGAAAAGGAAAGAGACUUACCUUCUACGGAUCGCCCUGACAUGAGGGAUGAACAAAUCCUACUUCUCUCAGACAUGUUAGGGAGUGAUGAGGAAGGAGAGGACUUGAUAUUUGACAGGGAAACAGUAAACAAAGACAGAGAUGAACAAACAAGCAAAGAAAUUCCUGUCCGAAGAUCAGAAAGAAGUCGUCAGCCACCAAAAAGGCUAGACUAUCCUGAAUUGGGAAAUCCCCUUGUCACUGUGGUCAAGUCAUUAUUCCAGGGUUUAACCACAGCUUUCAUUGAAUCUUUAAAUGCUAAAGCUGAAUUAUUGUUCUUAGAUGAUGCAGUUCACAGUAGACAUGCAAAGGGACUUGCAUGAAUUCAAGAGGGGAGGGUGUAACCCAGUUCCUAAAAUCAUCUCAAACAAAAGAGAAGAAAAAGUAAAACAUUUUAGGUUCAUUGUUCCUGUUCUUACUGUCCUUGUUUAAUGAAAGUGAAACGAGAUCAAUACAUUUAUUUAAACAUAAAAGGGACACAGAUUUAUAUAUGAUAUGCUCUGGUCAAACAAGGGUUAAGUUUUCUCAGAGGGUUGAUGAGCUCUGAUGAGAGCCUAUUAUUUUACUCCACUCCUCGCAUGUCAGCCAAUCAGUGAAGCUCUAUGCAGCUCUUGUCCCUCCUUAGUGCCAGCUCCCAAGUUUGCAGUCUCUUGCUUCUACAGCCGAACAGAGCAGGCGGACUAAAACUUUGUUAUCGAGGGCAGAGUGAAACCGGAAGGUUUACUGAGCUGUGGCUUCACGUAAACGCUGAGCAUACACUCGACGGCGGUCAGGUUUUUUAUAUGGGACAAAUCCAAAGACCAGGUCAGCGAUUCCAGAACCCAGAGUGUUCCAGUGUUCACUGGAUGGCGAGCCAACCCAAGAUCCUAGGAGACGAUAUACAUACACACGCACACUCAUUUGCACAUUGAUGGACUACAAUCUUCUACUGUACAAGUAGUACGGUAGGAUAGACAAUCACACACACUCUUACCAUUGGACAGACUCUAUUGCAAUACACCCGUUUGUCAUGGGCCCCACCGGUACCAUUUGGACUUAAAAAAGACUAAUAGUUUUACUUGUGCACAAUUUUAUUUUAUUCUAUUGUUUUGCUACUUUGGGGGAAAUUUUUAUACUGGAAGUUCUGUUAAAACCUGUUGUAACACUGUGUUGUUUACAAAUUCCUUUUAAAGGGCUUAAAAUCACUAAAGCACUUUUAAGCCACA